UACAGAGGGGGCAAGCGUUGUUCGGAAUUACUGGGCGUAAAGGGCGCGUAGGCGGCCUUCUAAGUCGAACGUGAAAUCCCCGGGCUCAACCCGGGAACUGCGUCCGAUACUGGAAGGCUAGAAUCCGGGAGAGGGAUGCGGAAUUCCAGGUGUAGCGGUGAAAUGCGUAGAUAUCUGGAGGAACACCGGUGGCGAAGGCGGCAUCCUGGACCGGUAUUGACGCUGAGGCGCGAAAGCCAGGGGAGCGAACGGG
rnacentral:rRNA from 1 species